AACGCGAAGAACCUUACCUGGGCUAGAAAACGCAAGAACCUGGUAGAAGUAUCGGGGUGCUCUUCGGAGAAUUUGUGGUUAGGUGCUGCAUGGCUGUCGUCGGCUCGUGUCGUGAGAUGUUGGGUUAAGUCCCGCGACGAGCGCAACCCCUAUCAUUAGUUACCAGCGGGUAAAGCCGGGAACUCUAAUGAGACCGCCGAUAUUCAAAUCGGAGGAAGGUGGGGAUGACGUCAAGUCAUCAUGGCCCUUAUGUCCAGGGCUACACACGUGCUACAAUGAUCGGUACAAACCGUCGCGAACCCGUGAGGGGGAGCCAAUCGGAAAAAACCGAUCUCAGUACAGAUAAGAGUCUGCAACUCGACUCUUUGAAGUCGGAAUCGCUAGUAAUCGCUGAUCAGCAGGCAGCGGUGAAUACGUUCCCGGGCCUUGUACACACCG
rnacentral:rRNA from 1 species